AGUGAACGCUGGCGGUAGGCCUAACACAUGCAAGUCGAACGGCAGCACAGUAAGAGCUUGCUCUUACGGGUGGCGAGUGGCGGACGGGUGAGGAAUACAUCGGAAUCUACUUUUUCGUGGGGGAUAACGUAGGGAAACUUACGCUAAUACCGCAUACGACCCACGGGUGAAAGCAGGGGAUCUUCGGACCUUGCGCGAUUGAAUGAGCCGAUGUCGGAUUAGCUAGUUGGCGGGGUAAAGGCCCACCAAGGCGACGAUCCGUAGCUGGUCUGAGAGGAUGAGGAGCAAGAUGGGGACUGAGAAACGGUCCGGACGCCUACGGGAGGCAGCAGUGGGGAAUGGUCGAGAAUGGGAGAAGGGCUGAUGGAGCAAUGACGAGGGGGUGAAGAAGGUCUUCGGAUCGGAAAGCUCUGUUGUUAGAAAAGAAAGUGAGGGAGAGGAAAAGUUCCUGGUCAGACGGGAGGUAAAUAGAAAGCAAAGGAUAAGUACGUG
rnacentral:rRNA from 1 species